rnacentral:rRNA from 1 species
CGUAGUGGCGCACGGGUGCGUAACGCGUGGGAAUCUGCCCUUUGGUUCGGAAUAACAGUUGGAAACGACUGCUAAUACCGGAUGAUGACGAAAGUCCAAAGAUUUAUCGCCAGAGGAUGAGCCCGCGUAGGAUUAGCUAGUUGGUGUGGUAAAGGCGCACCAAGGCGACGAUCCUUAGCUGGUCUGAGAGGAUGAUCAGCCACACUGGGACUGAGACACGGCCCAG